rnacentral:tRNA from 1 species
AGUGGUGUGGCUCAAAUGGUAGAACACCAGCCCAGCAAGCAUGAGGUCCUGAGUUCAAACCCCAGUACCACCA